rnacentral:tRNA from 1 species
UUUGAUAAAACCAAAACAGAGGUAUAUCUUUGUUAAAGAUUUAAAUGGUUACACCUAUCACAU